UCAGCGGCGGACGGGUGAGUAAUGCCUAGGAAUCUGCCUGGUAGUGGGGGAUAACGUCCGGAAACGGGCGCUAAUACCGCAUACGUCCUGAGGGAGAAAGUGGGGGAUCUUCGGACCUCACGCUAUCAGAUGAGCCUAGGUCGGAUUAGCUAGUUGGUGGGGUAAAGGCCUACCAAGGCGACGAUCCGUAACUGGUCUGAGAGGAUGAUCAGUCACACUGGAACUGAGACACGGUCCAGACUCCUACGGGAGGCAGCAGUGGGGAAUAUUGGACAAUGGGCGAAAGCCUGAUCCAGCCAUGCCGCGUGUGUGAAGAAGGUCUUCGGAUUGUAAAGCACUUUAAGUUGGGAGGAAGGGCAGUAAGUUAAUACCUUGCUGUUUUGACGUUACCAACAGAAUAAGCACCGGCUAACUUCGUGCCAGCAGCCGCGGUAAUACGAAGGGUGCAAGCGUUAAUCGGAAUUACUGGGCGUAAAGCGCGCGUAGGUGGUUCAGCAAGUUGGAUGUGAAAUCCCCGGGCUCAACCUGGGAACUGCAUCCAAAACUACUG
rnacentral:rRNA from 1 species